rnacentral:misc_RNA from 1 species
GUCUGAGUCUUUUCAUGAUUCGAACCUCAGUUCUGAAUUCUUCAAGUGAUUCAACAGAGAUACCUUGGUCCAGGAAUCUCUUCACAGCCACCUCAGUUCCAUGCCAGUCUCCAUGAUAGACCUCCCCAUAUGAUCCAAGUCCAAUACGUUCCCCCAAGGUGAUUUCCUCCCAAGGAAUCUCACACUCUGCAACGUCAUCUAGUGCUGCGUCAGACUUCAAGCUACCACUGCCAGCUGAUCUAUCAAAUAUUCUCUCACCUUCCGAAUGUUCCCCAACAGCAUCACGUUCUUGGCCACCAUUACCACCGUCCCCACUACCCUGUGGCUCAUAACCAGAACCAUUUGCAUCUCCUUCACUUCGCGCACACUGCUCAUGCUGCUUACUGACAGCUGCAGUUGUUGCAACAACAGCUGCAGCAGUAGCAGUAGCAGCAGCAGCUACAGGAAGGUUUGAGUCAGUGCUUGACUUUGCUGCAGC